AGAUUGGUAAAAACUACCCUCUUUUCCUUUCAAUUUCCAGGUAGUCCACGAUAGGCAUUUAGUACCCUAAUAGAAUUUAAGUGCUUUGCCUGGGUCACGGCCUGGGUCAGUCCUGGAAUUCAAAGUUAACCUGAGGGCGAACAGGAGAAGAGCAGGGUCCCAGCAGGGAAAAUGAGCCGUGAGUCGUACUUAGCCUUUAAAAUCAAACAUCACUUAAGAAGUCGCUGUGGGAUGAUCUGCUGUCCCAGGACAAUACAGGCAGUGCCUUCUUUCCCUCCCCUCGUGGUGGCUGAUUACCAGAGCUCACAAAAUGGGAUGGGUAUUUGACCUCCAGGCUGCUGUUCCCCUGCUGGGUACUCCCUCCCAGCAGCUGGCAUAGCUCAGGGAGAGCACUUGGCCUACCCGAUGUAGGCUGGUUGUUCUCUUAAUUCCUGUCUCCCAACAGAGAGCUAGGGAGCUGGUCUGGGAGGCAGGGGUGGGGCUCAGGUAGAAUUCCCUCCCAGGGGUAAGGGAUCAGGGGCUGCGGUGUGCCAGGCUUAGGAGACGUGAGCACGAGUAAGGUCUGGUCUCCUCCUCUGAGGGUCCCGUGGUUGAGCGGAAGACGUAACCUAGUCCUUGGACGAAAUGCAACAAAUCAGAGAGAAGAAACCAGGAUGAGGGGCAUCUUACCCAGCACGGGGGCAAUCAGCAGAUGCUUCUCAGAGGAGCUGGGGACUCAGGCCAGACCUCUGAGAGGGGACCCGAAGUGAAGGCCUGUUUUGAGGUGGGUGUGCGUCAAACACAGACCACCAGAAACCGGAUCCAGUCCGCAGGCUUCUGCAGCGUUCCCAGCUGUGCCCUGAGGAUGCAGGGACGAAAAGAUGAAAAGAUGCUCAGGGCGGCUCACUGUGGACAGGAGUGUUCAACCAAUCCCCCAUCGGGGCUCUGGGGCCCGAACCGCAGGCUCUACUGACGCAGUCAGUGGGGAACAGAAGCCAUCUCGCUGCCGGGCCGGAAACACCUUCUCACCUUCCUGGUCAGGCCAGCCUGGGCUCAGGGGCCAGCGCUGGAACUCAAAGCCGUGGCAGAGCGCUGGCUGACCCCUUAGUUGACAGGUAGCCUGUCCCCUGGGGUGGCCCCAGCCCUUGGAUCCUGCCUCUUUCCGGGUCCUCCGGGCCAGCCCCUCAGCCCGGCCAACAGGGCUCCCCAGAAGUGGCCCUGAGGUACGAGCUAGUUCUGGACCGCCCUGAUGUCCUCCCUUCUGCCAUUUUGCUGGUGGAACCCUCUGUUCUUUCUCCGGUCCCGUCUCUGCUCAGCCCCAAACCUAUACUCAGAUGAGCGCCCUUGGACGUGGUAGUUGAGACAUCUCAGGCUGCUUGUUGGGACAUCUCACGCUGCCUGUUCCCUCGUUCCCUCACCAGAGGGCGCGCUCCUUACCACCUGCCCGGUUGACCAGAAUCCAAAGAGGACAGACACAGCUCUCUUAUUAGAGCCUCAGCGCCUAGAAGAGGCACGUGGUAGGCCCUCAGAAAUAAAGUGAUGGAUUGAAACAGUG